GUGGUGGUGUGUCUGACCGUGGGUCUGGCUGGUAGUGUGUUCUGCAUGGGUGUUAUAUUGUAGCUACAGAUCUGAAGAGAGGUAUUAUUGUUGAAUGAAAAGACGUAUCUGAAACUCUCAUUCCGUACUCCUCUUCUCUCCUCUACUUCUCCUUUCUCCCCCCAAAUCCCUUAACAAACCCUAGUUAUUGUUCGUGAGUUUCACCACGAAUUUCCGUUCGUCUGCGUCCAAACCCUCCUGAUUCGGCUGUAAAAUUCCACCGCGAAGGGUGCGAAAUUUGCUUCGGCAAAAUUCGCUCGAAAUCCCGAGCGGGGUUCGCUGGAUUCGGAGCGGGCCGCAACGGCGCCGUCGAAAUCGCCACUUCCGUCCGCCCAGACCAAGCUGGUCAUCGCCGUCAUGGGAGAGAACUCUGAGAGUAUUCAGGCGUCGCUGGCCACCCUUCUCACCAAGAUUGAAGCCAUGGAUACGAGGGUUUCCAAUUUGAGCAAACAACUUGCGGCAACACAGAAGAAUGUCGACGAGAUUCGUCACAGGCAAGCGGAGGCGGGGGCUAAACCGGCGGGAUCAGGAGUCACGGAGUAGGGCACUUCAUCGGCCAGCCGCCCCGCUCCGCGGCUUACAAAUCUGCAGCCGCCCCUCCUCGAGGUGUCGAAUGGACAGUCGGCGGGUUAGGUUUUCACCACAGCGCCCCCAUCACCUGUGGAGCAUGUGCUUGGGCAGGAGCCACCACCGGAACCAUGCCACGAUCCCAGGCCGGCGCGUGAGCACGUUCCAGAGCACCGUCGGGUGUUGGUACAGGAUCGAGACGGUGUCCACUUCAUCAAGCCACCUAAGCACCAUUUUCCACGAUUCACUGGUGAGAAUCCACGACUUUGGAUUGACAUGGCUCUUACCUACUUUGAUAUGUACCAAGUGCAUGUGCAUCAGUGGAUUUCUACCGCAACACUGUACCUCGAUGGACAUGCGACACUUUGGUGGCAAGCAUUUAAGCACUGUAGGCGUCUUUGGCCGUGGGAUGACUUUGCAGUUGAGAUUGAGUUGGAAUUUGGGCAAGGCGAGUUUGAAUCCCAUAUGACUCAUCUCUUACAAUUGAAGGAACGGGGUAUUGUGACCGAGUACAAGUCCGCAUUCGAGACAGUGAUGUAUCAUUUGAUAGCAUUGCACCCUUCUUUGAACUCCAAAUUUUUUAUAUCCCAGUUUGUACUUGGACUGAAGGAUGAGAUCAGAGCAGCGGUACGAUUGCAGGCACCCACCAGUGUUACUCGAGCAGUCUGUUUGGCCAAAAAUCACGAAGAAGAGCUGGAGAUACAGCGGCCUCGACAACGUUUUCAGAGACAUACCAUGCCUACUACAGUCCAACCAAGUCAGCAAGCAGGAAAGAAAGCACCUGAUGAUUUUGGUCGUGAAUGGCAGCUACGAGAUUUCAGAAAAGCAAAUGGACUAUGCUUCACGCGUGGAGAUAAGUAUAGCAAGGAACAUCAAUGUAAGAAGCCGAUGCAGCUACUUACUAUACAAGUUGGUGAACAUGGGGAGGUGUUAACUGAAGAUGCGGUUCACAGCUACUUACUAUACAAGUUGGUGAACAUGGGGAGGUGUUAACUGAAGAUGCGGUUCAGGCACUUGAGUUGUUAACUGAACCAGAAACACAGGAAUGUUGCCAAAUCUCUUCAAAUGCAGUCAGUAGAGCAGAUUCUGGUGAAACCUUUCGCAUCCGUGCUUUAGUGGGAAAUCAAGUGAUGUUAGCAUUGGUUGACUCGGGUAACAACCAUAGUUUUGUUGAUGAAAACUUCGCCACUCGAGCAAAAUUAGAUAUAUUGUAGCACCCCAAGUUAAAGUCACAGUUGCUAAUGGUCAGAGUAUGCAGUCUCGGUGUCAGGUGCAGAAUUUGACUUGGUGGACACAAGGCCAUACAUUCACUAGUUCUAUGAGAGUUCUGCAGUUGGGUGCAUAUGAUGCAGUGUUAGGGAUGGAUUGGCUCAAGUGUCACAGUCCGGUGACUUGUGAUUGGGAGGGUAAAGCAUUACAGUUUGCACACGGUGACACUAUUAUUUCCCUUCAAGGUGUCCAGCCUGUUUCUACUAUGCAAUUGCAAGCUAUGUCAAUAGAGCAAUUGGACAAAGCUCUGCAUGGCAAUGAUAUUUGGGCUAUGGUCGUGGUUGAUCCUUCUUCCGGUGAUGUUGUUUGUACGGCUGGCUCAUAUCCCGAAGAUCUUACUGCAGUUUUAACAGAAUUCCACGAUGUGUUUGCAACUCCAACUAGACCGCCUCCCCCAUAGAGUGUAUGAUCAUGCAAUCACUUUGGAAGUGGGUCAUAACCCUCCUAACUCUCGCCCUUACCGAUACUCGCCACAACAGAAGGACGAGAUUGAAUGACAGGUGGCAGAGAUGAUCAAGGCAGGGAUUGUGAAACCUAGCAUGAGCUCGUAUGCAUCACCAGUACUUCUGGUUAAGAAAAAAGACGACAGUUGGCAUUUUUGCGUGGAUUACCGCAAACUCAAUGCCAUCAAGGUGAAGAACAAAUUCCCUCUUCAUAUGGUCAAUGAAUUACUUGAUGAACUGGCAUGAUCGAAAUAUUUCUCCAAGCUGGACCUCAAGGCAGGUUAUCACCAAAUCCGUAUGCAUGAACCGGAUGAGGAGAAGACUGCAUUCAAGACACAUUCAGGACACUUCCAAUUUCGUGUUAUGCCGUUUGGGGUGACCAAUGGACCACCAACAUUUCAGUGCUUAAUGAACAACAUUUUUGCUCCACCUAAUCACAAAUAUGUCAUCAUGUUCCUGGACGACAUCUUAGUUUUCAGUAGCACUUGGGAGGAACAUUUGGAGCAUCUGCGCUCGGUACUACAGACCUUGUGUGAGCAUCAGUUGUUUGUGAAGCUUUCCAAAUGUUCUUUUGCUCAGACUGGAAUCAAAUAUUUGGGUCAUGUGAUUUCUUUCGAAGGUGUGGCUAUAGAUCCAGAGAAGACUACGGCGAUGGAACAGUGGUCUCAACCUACCAACGCUAAUGAAUUGCGUGGGUUCCUUGGGUUGACCGGGUACUACCGCAAGUUUGUCCGAAAUUAUGGUACUCUGGCCAAGCGUGUGACUCAAUUGCUGACCAAGAAGGGUUUUGUUUGGACAGAGCAAGCCACUGUAGCUUUUUAGAAAUUGAACACAGCUCUACCGGAUUUCAGUCAAUCUUUUGCAGUCGAAACUGAUGCGUCUGCCAUAGGAAUUGGAACUAUACUCUCAUAGAAUAACCAUCCGAUUGCUCAUCUGAGCAGGGCUUUAGGUGUGGCUAAUCAAAAGUUGUUUGUUUAUGAGAAAGAAUUCUUGGCUGUCAUUAUGGCCAUUGAUAAGUGGCGCCCGUACCUUUAGAGGGGUUCCUUCACUAUCAUUAUAGACCACCGAAGCCUCGGUCAUUUACAGGAUCAACAACUCAUUACUGAUCUUCAGCGUAAGGCCAUGGCUAAAAUGGUGGGCCUUCAAUUUCGGUUUAAAUAUCGCAAAGGCUCGGAGAACAGUGCCGCAAAUGCAUUAUAUCGUGUGGGUCACUUGUACACAAUCACAACAAUCUCGACUUGCCAACCAAUGUGGACGCAGGAGGUUGUGAAUUCCUAUCAAACUGAUCAAUCAGCUCUGGACCGAUUGGCUCGUCUAGUAGUGCAUAGUCCGGAUGAACAUGGUUAUUCACUGGAUCAAGGACUGAUUAAAUAUCAAGGACGUCUGUGGAUUGGUAAUAAUUCUGCGCUCCAAACAAAACUAAUCAGUGCUCUGCAUUCAAGCGCUGUCGGGGGUCAUUCAGGCAUUAGGGCCACUUAUUACCGUGUGUCCAAAUUAUUCCAAUGGUCUGGCAUGAAACAACAAGUCGAGGACUGGGUGAAGCAAUGUAAAGUUUGUCAGCAAGCAAAACACGAGCGCACACAUCCGGGUGGUUUGCUGCAGCCCUUGCCACUGCCUACGCACCCCUGGAAGGACAUUACCAUGGAUUUCAUAGAUGGGCUUCCGAAAUCAGAAGGAUUUGAGGUAAUCCUAGUGGUGCUUGAUCGACUCACUAAAUACACUCACUUCUUUCCUAUGAAACACCCCUAUGCACCUCAGUCCAUAGCCACAGUUUUCAUUGAUAAUGUGGUUCGCCUUCAUGGUGUUCCGGCAUCUAUUGUUUCCGACUGAGAUAAGGUGUUUACUAGUUUUUUUGGGAGGAAGCUUUUCAAGGAGAUAGGCACCAAGUUAUGCUACUCCACGGCCUAUCAUCCCCAAACAUACGGGCAAUCAGAGUGUGUUAACCAGUGCUUAGAACAAUAUCUAUGUUGUGCCGUUCAUGACAGCCCGACAAGGUGGAAACGCUGGUUACCAAUGGCAGACUUUUGGUAUAAUUCCUCUUACCACACGUCACUUGACAACACUACUUUUAAGGCAUUAUAUGGAAUUGAUCCUGAUUUUGGUACUAUGCCGAUUGCCCUGGAGAAUUACCUGCUUCCCUGACAGAGCUGGCAGCAGAUCGUGACGAUUUUUUGGCUCUGUUACGUGACCAUCUCUUACGUGCCCAACAGAGAAUCAAGUCACACGCAGAUAAGCAUCAUGCAGAUAGGGAAUUUGCUGUUGGCGAGGACGUUCUGCUCAAACUCCAACCAUAUGCACAAUCUUCGUUGGUCAACCGCCCCUGCCACAAGCUUGCAAUGAAGUUCUUUGGCCCAUUUCGUGUCACUGAAAGAAUUGACUUGCCCGAGCCACCAGAUUUGUGUGCUGUUACAUUGCAACCCGAAGCGAUUCUCGAACGACGCAUGAUAAAGAAAGGGAACUCAACUAUCCCUCAACUCAAGGUUCAGUGGCAUGGCAUUGCUGCAGAUCAUGCAACCUGGGAAGAUUAUUAUGUGCUUUGGACUCGUUUUCCGGUGGCUUAAAUUUGGGAGGAGCCUACAUCUCAAGGGGGGAAAGUGUCACGUCCCCACCAGUGUUGGUGUCGACGGACAACAAACAGGUGGCCCCGGGUCUCACUGUGCAGUGUCCAAGGGUGUAAGAUGUGGUGGUGUGUGUGACCGUGGGUCCGGCUGGUAAUGUAUUCUGCGUGGGUGUUAUAUUGUAGCUACAGAUCUGGAGAGAGGUAUUAUUGUUGAAUGAAAAGACAUUUCCGAAA